CCUAGGGAGGGGGGCGCGCCGAAGCCUGAUUGGCCGCCGAAGGUCGGUGGGCGGAGCCAUUAGCUGCCUGCUCCACGUGCGCGCGCUCCAGCCAGAAGGGGCAGCCCCGGCGAUGCCAGCAGCGAAGUUUCCGCAGCGGAAGGGAAGGAACGGCGGACCGACCUCCGAUCGGUCCCUCGGUCCGCGUGGGCUGGGGUUUCUUGUGUUUGGGUAUGUUUUAUGUUUCCCAGUGGGGGCCAGGAGACUAGCAGGGUCUCUCUUUUGCAAGACAUCAAGUGAGGAGCAGAGAGCUGUGGAGAGACAGACAAGGGUGACCAGCAGGAGUGGCAGCCUUGCCUUCCCAGGCAUGCAGCCCCACCGACUGGCAGACUGGCAUCCCUCUCCCUGGACUUUCUGCACUUAAGAAGGCAGCAACCUCCCUUUGGAGCCUUUCAGGGAGGAAGAACAACAGAACAUCACCUGGCCAAUGAGUUUGAGAAGCUGCCCUGAUUUCUGGACCCUGACGUUGCCAUGUUGGUGGUUGCAGCCAUAGGAGGAAAACCAAACCUGUUUCUUGCCACAUGCUGCACUUGAAGAACCAGAGAGGCAGAGGGGAACUCCUGGGUUCCGUGAUGGGAUCACUCAUCACAGCUGCUAGAUCACUUUGACAGGUUGGGUUCCAAGGUGGAUUACUGCGUUUCAAAACAUUACUAAAUACAAAGGAAUAAAGACAAGCUGGUUAAGAACUGUAAUUAUGUUAGAAUCAGCAUUUAAACUACACUUUGCCCUGUAUUUUACAGCUGCUUUUGCUGGUUCUGCUCAGGCUUCUUGACCCAGAUUCUCAUGCAGAGCAGGAGCUGCAAGAAUUGACAUGCUGAGUCAGACUGUUAUCCCACCACUUUGACUUUGGAUAGCUCCCUUCCUAAGACCCUUCUUGCUGGAGGUGCACUGGAAGGCUCUGCUGAUGAGUUAUGGGCUCUGCCCUGCCCUGCCCUGCUCUUCUCCUCUGCGUGCUUCUUUAGAAAGCUGAGCUUCUUCCUUACAGGGCAGUCUAAAUCCCAGCCAGAUAGGGGCACAGUCACUAUCCGCCAUCUCCACAGUAGCCCUGUUUUUCAAGCUAGCUUGGGCAGAAGGUGGCGGUGGGGAGGCAAAAUCCUGCUUUGAUUUAUUUACUGAUUAUAUCUCUAUGCCACUUUUUCAUUCAAAUGAAUCCUCAAGCGAUUUACAAACAAUAAUAACAACAUGAUCAAGCAUAAUAGAGCAUCAACAUAUACAGCUUAAAUCGUAUAGAUUAACAAACCAUCAACGAAACAAUUGGUAAAACACUGUGAACAAAGCAGCAAAUAAAAACCAAGCUAAAUAUCCACAAUUAAAGCAAAAGGCAUCUUAUAUGAUUGACAAAUCAAUACAGCCAUUAUAAUCUAUAAAAUAAUAUCAACGGCAUUAACAAAAUUGCAACCAAAAAAUAAAGUAAGCACUGUUAAGUUCAUAUGCACCUCUUGACACCCCCAUUACUCAUAAUCUUACACUCUCUUGUUCUUAUUAAAACACACAUACACAUAAUACUGGCGGCAGCAACUCCCCUCUGGAGCUGGUGUAGCCACUGAGAUGUUUUGUGCUGCCACCAGCAGGAGGCCCUCCAGCGGCUCUCCUGCACUUUCAAUGCUGCAUCCACCACCAUCCCCAGCAUGGUGGAUCGUGGGUUUAGAUUGUGCCCUUAACAUUUCUGAUGGACUAAGUUUUAACUUCAUUGUUCUUUCAUGAAAAAAUAAAUAGACCAGCAGUUCAGAUAAACUUUACAAGAACUGCAUUUAAUCAAAGGACUUUGCCAGGCAGCUCUUUGGCCAGCUAACUAAGAAGAACAAUGCAAAACCUAAGCUGCUGGAUCAAAAUAAAGCUCCUGGCAGGCUCAGUUUCUCUGCACAUGAAAAUAAGCCUUGGGAAACAUGAGGUGCUAGACUGGAGUCAAUCAAUAAAUUUUUAUUGCAUAUAGCCAAAGGCCUUUGCAAUGUACAGCGGAGGACAAAAGCAGCUCGUCUGGAGUCAGUAAGGUUCACAAUAUGAUUGACAGUACAGUAUUGUAGUCUACUAUAUUGUGCAGCAGAAACUUUUGAAUAAUGUAACAACAAAUAUAUUUUAAGGAGGUA